rnacentral:rRNA from 1 species
AUGGAUGAAAACCAAUGCCCCAUUCUUAGUUGGAACGUGCGGGGACUCAACAUGCCGGCCAAGCGCGACGCGGUUUGCGAGUCUGCCACUGCGCACCAGCCGGCGAUCUUCUGCCUCCAGGAGACUAAAAUCGACGUGUGGUCGCCAGCCCUAGUCAAGGACGUUGGCGGCCGCCGGCUCACUGAAUGUGUAGUUCUGCCUGCGAUAGGUUCUAGAGGAGGGGCGGCAAUCCUGUGGGAUAAUCAGAUUGUCUCGAUUGCUUCCCAUGCCAUUGGAGAAUUCGCCAUUACGGUCAAGGUCACGGUUCUC